CCGGCGCUUCACGUGAACCCGGCCUGGCGGGGCGCAGGAGCGCGAGUGGCUCCGGCAAGCGGGGUAGGCGCCGAGCGCCAGGACGGCCCGACCCCGCCCACUCCAAGGCCCCGCCCUGCCCCCUGCCUGGCCACGCCCCCGCCGGACCCAGUCCCGCCCCUCGGCGCUGUGCGCCCCGCCCACGGAGGAGGUCACGCCCCCUUCCGGUGGCUGUCUUGCUGGGAGCAGAAGAGGCGAGUCCAGGCGGGGCUUGGCCUGACAGGCCCGGAGGCGAACCGCCCCUUUCGCGGUUGGCUCAGGCAAGAGCCAGAUUUGUUUGUUUGUUUUUGCUUGCUUAUAGCUUUUCCUUCUCUCAACUCCUCGCUCACCCAGAAAUAGAGUCUUGCCGUAAAAUGUUGCUUUUAAAGAUCUCCGACAUCUCGAAUCAUGCAAGGUUUCACAGAGGUGUAUGGAUCUAUAUCAACUGCUUGCUUUAUGCCAGUCCUUGCUGUGGGAGAUACUAGCAGAUUUCAGGGAAAUCCUUCCUCUAAAGCCAGGAUUUUUUGGCUAUGGGUGUUCUGAAUGUGGAAUUUCCAACACAAGUAUUUUCUGGAAAAUGAGAAGUGCUCACUAAGUAUCUGUAGAAUGAAUAAGUGAUUAUUAAAGGAAGACUGUGGACACGGACACCCAGGAGCACCGUGAUUAAACAGACUACAGACCCCAGAGAGCAUGCAUAAAUGGGGCGGCAUUGACAGAGGCCCAUUUCCCACGAAAGAAACAGACAAACAACAGAAACAACAGGAAAAGGGUGCUACCACAAUGAACAAUGUGUGAUGGAGAGGUGGGAAAGGCAGAAGAGAAGAACAGUGCAUCAGCUGUGGAGAGAUAGAACUGGAGACUAAUGGCGGUGCCAGGUGUGAGAGAGGGCUGAGGUCAACAGUGGAGGAAGGGCCCUUGGACAUGAACAUGGCUUCAGGCAGCAGCCCAGACCACAGAGCUCCAGGAAUACAGGCAGCCUUUCAUUUUUAUUUCAUACAUCUGUUUGGACAUUUACACACUGGGAGCCCAGAGUUAUGGAGAUGGAAAGUGCUGCUUCAGCUGGGAUAGCAGAAGACUGGAUGGAGAAUAAGCACCCAAAGUUCCUUCCACGGAGGCCUAAACAGCAAUGUGAAUCUACCCAAGCAGCAGGCUGAGGCUUCAGAGACUUCAAGAAGAUUUAGGCUUUGACACAGUGUCACUGUGAACCAUGGUUCUUCACUUCUGGGCUUGAUCCAGAAUAGACUGUGAUGAGGAAAGAGGUCAUCCUCUAGCUGUGCAGACGGUGGUCUCUGUGACACCCAUCAUCUCAAAGACAUCCUCUCUCAAACCUCUAGACCUACAUUGUGAUAUCCUGUCAGGACUUCCCAGCCCAGGCCGUGACUAGAGCAGAGCUGUUGAGAGUCAAGAAAAGGAAUUCUAUGCUGGGGGAAGUUCUAGGUUCUGUCUACAGACCUCAACUUCAAAGCUUCUGCUGAGAUUUUUAGGUUGGCUUUUAACUGAGGCAUAAUUUCAGGAGUGUGCCUCAAUGGAUACCUUCCGCUGAGGAAGCAGGGAGAGGAUUUCAUCAAGACAGUGAAUUCUAAAGAGAGAAUUGGGGGGCUAGAACUUACCUAUGUAGGUUCACUGGCAGCAUGUGAGACCAUACCCAAAUGAUUAAGUUCUCAAUCUGUCAGUUUCCUUGUGUGGUUAGCUCUGGGUAUGAUAGUGAUGUCUUAUUGUAGCCUGUCAUUUUUAAAGGGAAGUUUGUACACAUUUAUGAGAUUACAUUUUCUAAACCAAAUGACUUUUUUUUUUUCUAAUGCUUAUAUUCCAGCCUUUGUAAAUCAUUCUAUUGUGUGAGUUAGAUUCUACCUGGCUACUAUUUAAAGCAGAAAAAAAAAAAAAAACCUCCUGAAUAAGAAGCUAGCCAGGCUGAGCAAGGAGGCAGAAAUCCUGCAGCCACGCUGCCUUAAUUCCUCAUGCAGUUUUUCUACACCAAAGCUUGUUUUUCAAAUCGCAAACACAAAAUAGAAUGAUUUGGAAGGAGAAUCUGCUUUCAUUGUUUCCUGUGUCCUGGGUUAAAACUCAGUUCUUGUGAAGACAAAGGCUUUGCUUGCUCAACUGGACUUGAGAGAAACAUUGUUCCCAGCUUAAUCACUGAACAAGAUGGAGGCAGAGUCUCUGGGUGGAAAGUGUUCAGAUGUGACAGGCUUGCCUUGCAGUCGGCUUGGUUUAGGAGGGUUUGCCAAACUGUCCCGAAGAUGGCGCCACGUGCUCAGCUUUAGAAAAGCCUGCGUCCUUUAGGCUGGUGUGUGAAAUCACCAACCUCCAAACUUAGCCACAGAUCUACAGGGACUGUUGCCUGAAAAUAACUAACAUUCCACUGUUAAAGCCUAAAGAUUAAACUAAAUCACCCAAGAAAUGACAAAUGGUUGAAUUAUCUCUAAAUUUUUCAUUUGGUGGAGUGAGUACAGAAAAAAAGAAAAUGCAGGAAAUAUUUCUUUGAGUUAAUUCAAUAGCAGGAUCUGAGUGUCCCAAGCCACCUCUGACUUUGUUAUUUCUGCUGUGUUCAAUGUCAAAGGUAUGAUCGUGGGUCAAGUGGACUGAGCUAGAAACAUGAAUGACAUCCUCAACAUUUCCUUAUUUUAACCUCUCUCAUCAGUGAUGCCACAUCCAGUCAACCACACAAUCCCUUCUAUUCCAGGUCCUAAAUGGCUCAGGUGUGUUUACACCUCUCCAUUCUCGAAGCUACCAGCAAUGUUGCCUAUUCCCUGGUACAAGAUGUGGGAAUUGCUCCAAUUGAUCACACUUUGCUCCUCUCCAUGGACUCCCUACUCUCCAUCAAGAGUGGCCUUUCAAAAAAAUAUUCCUGAUCAUUAAUCUCCCUACUGGUAAUCCCUGGCUCCUUUAAAUGCUCUCAGGGCUUCUACUGCUGUGAUGAAACACCAUGACCUAACAUCAAAUUGGAGAGGAAAGGGUGUAUUGGAUUUACACUUCCAUUCUGUAGCCCAUCACUGAAGAAAGUGAAGACAGGAACUCAAACAGAACAGAAACCUGUAGGCAGGAACUGAUGCAGAGGCCAUGAAGGAGUGCUGCUUACUGGCUGGUUUCCCAUGGCUUGCUAAGUCUGCUCUUAUAGAACCUUGGACCACCAGCUCAGGGGUGGCCCCACCCACAGUGGUCUGAGCCCUUCGCCAUCAAUCACUAAUUAAGAAAAUGUCCUACAGAUUGCCU